UGGGGAAUAUUGCACAAUGGAGGGAACUCUGAUGCAGCGACGCCGCGUGAACGAAGAAGGCUUUCGAGUCGUAAAGUUCUGUUAUAUGGGAAGAUAAUGACGGUACCAUAAGAAAAAGCCCCGGCUAACUACGUGCCAGCAGCCGCGGUAAUACGUAGGGGGCUAGCGUUGUCCGGAAUCACUGGGCGUAAAGGGUUCGCAGGCGGAAAUGCAAGUCAGGUGUAAAAGGCAGUAGCUUAACUACUGUAAGCAUUUGAAACUGCAUAUCUUGAGAAGAGUAGAGGUAAGUGGAAUUUUUAGUGUAGCGGUGAAAUGCGUAGAUAUAUGGAGGAACACCAGUGGCGAAGGCGACUCUCUGGUCUGUAACUGACGCUGAGGCUCGAAAGCGUGGGUAGCAAACAGG
rnacentral:rRNA from 1 species